GAUGAACGCUGGCGGCGUGCCUAAUACAUGCAAGUCGAGCGAACAGACGAGGAGCUUGCUCCUCUGACGUUAGCGGCGGACGUGUGAGUAACACGUGGAUAACCUACCUAUAAGACUGGGAUAACUUCGGGAAACCGGAGCUAAUACCGGAUAAUAUAUUGAACCGCAUGGUUCAAUAGUGAAAGACGGUUUUGCUGUCACUUAUAGAUGGAUCCGCGCCGCAUUAGCUAGUUGGUAAGGUAACGGCUUACCAAGGCAACGAUGCGUAGCCGACCUGAGAGGGUGAUCGGCCACACUGGAACUGAGACACGGUCCAGACUACUACGGGAGGCAGCAGUAGGGAAUCUUCCGCAAUGGGCGAAAGCCUGACGGAGCAACGCCGCGUGAGUGAUGAAGGUGUUCGGAUCGUAAAACUCUGUUAUUAGGGAAGAACAAAUGUGUAAGUAACUAUGCACGUCUUGACGGUACCUAAUCAGAAAGCCACGGCUAGCUACGUG
rnacentral:rRNA from 1 species